UCGGGUGUGGUGUGCGGUGCACGCUCUUUCUCUUCAUGGCAACGGAAUUGAACUGAAUUGAAAGGAGAGACCCGGGUUCGACUCCUGGCGUCCGAA